AUUGAACGCUAGCGGCAGGCUUUACACAUGCAAGUCGAACGAGUGGCGGACGGGUGAGUAAUGUCUGGGAAACUGCCCGAUGGCGGGGGAUAACUACUGGAACCGGUAGCUAAUACCGCAUACCAUCGGAUGUGCCCAGAUGGGAUGAGCUAGUUGGUGGGGGAAAGGCUCACCUAGGCGACGAUCCCUAGCUGGUUUGAGAGGAUGACCAGCAAAACUGGAACUGAGACACGGUCCAGACUCCUACGGGAGGCAGCAGUGGGGAAUAUUGCACAAUGGGCGAAAGCCUGAUGCAGCCAUGCCGCGUGUAUGAAGAAGGCCUUCGGGUUGUAAAGUACUUUCGGCGGGGAGGCGUUACCCGCAGAAGAAGCACCGGCUAACUCCGUGCCAGCAGCCGCGGUAAUUC
rnacentral:rRNA from 1 species